AUUGAACGCUGGCGGCAUGCCUUACACAUGCAAGUCGAACGGUAACAGGUCUUCGGAUGCUGACGAGUGGCGAACGGGUGAGUAAUACAUCGGAACGUGCCUAGUAGUGGGGGAUAACUACUCGAAAGAGUGGCUAAUACCGCAUGAGAUCUACGGAUGAAAGCAGGGGAUCGCAAGACCUUGUGCUACUAGAGCGGCCGAUGGCAGAUUAGGUAGUUGGUGGGAUAAAAGCUUACCAAGCCGACGAUCUGUAGCUGGUCUGAGAGGACGAUCAGCCACACUGGGACUGAGACACGGCCCAGACUCCUACGGGUGGCAGCGGUGGGGAAUUUUGGACGAUGGGCGCAAGCCUGAUCCAGCAAUGCCGCGUGCAGGAUGAAGGCCUUCGGGUUGUAAACUGCUUUUGUACGGAACGAAAAGCCCCGGGUUAAUACCCUGGGGUCAUGACGGUACCGUAAGAAUAAGCACCGGCUAACUACGUGCCAGCCGCCGCGGUAA
rnacentral:rRNA from 1 species